AUGUGGCACCACCGCACCGAAGGU
rnacentral:siRNA from 1 species